rnacentral:lncRNA from 1 species
UACACACAGUGCUUGGGCAGCGCGGUGUCUGAGAGCAGCCAUCUGUAGCUCCCUGCCGUGGUGAACAGUGCAGGAUGCCUCAGUGCAGGGCAGAGGGCACCUAACGAAGGUCACAUGAAAUCAUUCCAGGAGACGGGAAUGUGCUCAGCUGGCGCUGCUCCCACAACGGAGACACUCAGCUAAAGGCCCUCGGCUGGAGCGCUGUCCCCAGCUGCCACGUCUUUGAAGAUAGCAGGCCCGGCUGCACUGCAGGAAGAUGGACAGCUUCCUCGUCCAACUGCUGCGUUCACCCCAAACGACAGCAAGUGACGAGCGCCAGGCAAACACUCUGAGAUCCAGACAGCUUGAAUGGAUUCAUCUUAGGUGCCACACGAGGCACCUCCUAGUCUGACCUCCACAUGGAGGCAGUGACACAUGACCAACAAGGAGCACACCUUCAAGGCAUUGAUGACCGUCUCAAUGUGGGUCUUGACGGCCUCGUGGGAGAACUCAGAGCUGGCCAGCGUGCACAUGCUCUCCAGAGCCAGGUAGCGUAGGUUCGUCUCCCGGUGCUGCAGGAACUGGCCCAGCUGGUUGCAGGCGCGGACGAGCAAGUUUGGCUCACUGCAAGGAACAGGGGACAUGAUGAGGAGGGGAAAAUAGUCAGGGAGGGCUGUGAGCUACAGGUGAGGACAGAUGCAGUGGAGAGGUGCGGUGAGAAGGCAGCGCAGUGGUGAGAGGAGGCCCAGCGGGAGGCGCUGGAAGAGGUGGUGCAUAGGACAGAUGGCAGUCCAGGGAGGAAAAGCCUCGGUAAAGAGGACGCGAGGUGAGGAAUGAGAAGUGCGGUGUGAAGUGAUAGGACGGUGCUGUAAUGAGGGGUCAGGGAGGAGGAGGUGCAGUGAAGAGGGGGUGACUUUCUAAUGAAUCUGCAGGAGCUCCUCUACUCCAGAGCAGACUCUGGAAAGCUCUGGUAGGCCAAGGCUUCACUUUCUUUUGUUGUGUCCAGGAAAGUGAGUUGGACAGCGGCCAUGCAGGAAACUGGACCAGGCUAAGGCAGACAGUGAGUAACGAGGGCUGUGAAUGUGGAACGUGGGCUAAACGGUCAACAUUCCCUCUUACAUACGUUUCUUAGGAUGCUCUCCCUCACACCCUAAGUUUUGUUUUUUACAGUUCAUUUUCAACCCUGCUCCAGUUUGGCAGACUGCUUUUGUCACUGCAACAUUUAUCUAAAUGAUGGAGCAAAAACAGCUGGUCCCAAACAGGCUAGAGUUCUGUCUGCUACAGCCUCUGGCAGAGACCCAGAGAGCAGUGCCACGGGCAUACAUAAGGGCACACAACCAGGACUGAGCAUAAAAGAGCAGAAGCAAGAUGCCUGCACUGUAUAUGACAACCACUGCCUGUGACCCAACCAUGACCCUGUACAGAAGCUGGGAGUCAUCACUACCACUGCCCCAGGAGACCCCAGAAUACUGGAGCAUUGCCUCUCUGAGCAGCGAAAGUCACACGGGUGUCCCUUCCUUUCAAAGAAGCUUCCUGUAAUACUCAGAAGCAAAAAGGAGCUCUAGGGACGAUUCCACAGCUAUAAAAGUAUCUAUGGCAACGUCCCGGGGCCAGAGAGCUCACAUGAAGUGAGCUCACAGCUCAAGAAGCAAGAGGAGCAGAGACCAAGGCUAGAAUAGAGACACCGGUCAACAUCUGCACAGACAGAUGCCAACUGCCAGCCUCCACCUGCUGUCUCUCGAGAGGGAUGCGCUGCUAGCAGGGCUCACCUGUCAUGGUGGAUGAUCAGGCUGAUGGCCUCAAACAGCACAGCGUUCUUGGCAUUUGAAUGCUGGACCUUCUUGGACUUGGGUGGCUCCUGGGCCUUGUUCAGGAUGGUCUCCAAGCACUCAGUCAGGCGGCCACGCACCGCAGGGUCUUCUGGGCAGGACACAACUGUCGGCUGGGCUCCCAGGCCCUCAUCCCACCAGCCCAGCCCCACACCCGGGCAAGAGGCUCCCGAGACACUGCCUGUCCUAUGGGUGCCUCUGACAAUUAUUCCCAGCUGCAGAUAAGAAGGGGAGCAUUUGUAAAUUGUCAUGGGACAGCUCCCUGCUGCAGUGUCAUAAACAUGAGGCAGGGAUGGAGCAGCUGUGGUACCUACACCUGCUUCUAAUUUGGAUGGCACUUAGACAGAAUGUGUUAAUCAUAAAGUCCAAGGAUUAUGGGCAAAACCUCUACGGAGCUUCAGAGACAAGGGAGCUUUGCUCUCGGUUAUCAACCCCAGAAACAAAAUAUAAAGCAACAUAAAGAGAAAGAAGAUUUCUAAUUUGGUUCAAAGCAGAAGGAAAAGACAAUGAGCAAAAAAAUUGAAGCCAGUCAUGUGGUACACACCUGUAUGAAAGCACUUAGAGGGCAGAGGCAGGAGGAUUAGGAGUUCAAAGAGAGUAAGUUCAAGGCCAGACUGAGUUACAUAAGACCCUGUUUCAUUAAAAACAUAAGGGCCAGUGAGACCGCUCAGUGGAUAAAGGCAUUUGCCAUCAAGCAUAAUGACCUGAGUUCAAUCCUCAGAAACUACACGUGGAAGGAAAGAACCAACUCCCACAGGUUGCCCUCGGGCCUCCACAUGCAUGCUAUGGCACGGCACCCACAAGGCACACACAGGCACACAGACAAAGUAAAGGUAAAAGCUAUUAAAACAAAAACCAGUUACAGUGGUAAGAGCCUGCUAUCCCAAUACUUGGGAGGUUAAGACAGGAGGAUUAUAGGGAAUUCCAGGACAGUCUAGGCUGUACAGUAAGAAACUAUUGUAAUAAAUAAAUUAAUUAAUAAAUUAAUUUUAAAAGAGGAGAAGGAGGAGGACAGAACAGAACCAAGGCUCCCAGUGAACUUUGUAUGUGAUACUCAAGUAGCUUGUGUGUGCACGUGUGAGGGGACAAAGGUCAGCCUCGGGUGCCAUUCCUCAGGAGCCACCCACACCCACAUUUUUGAGAUAGCAUCUCUGACUGGGACAUGAGACUUGUAGUAGCUCACAUUAGCUCCUCCAUGUCUGCUUCUCUGUGCUAGAGAAUGCACCACUAUGCAUGCUGCUGUAUUUUAGACUGAGCUCAGGUACUGGAGUCUGCCAUGCCAACACUUUACUAACGACCUCUCUCUGAAACACCUCCUAAUAACCCUUUAACCCUAAUAAACA